UCCAUAACAUGUUAUUCACAUUGGCUUAAACCCUCAAGAGACCCUUAAUAGACCAAUGCAAAUCUUAUUCCUAAAGAGCAAAUCUAAAUUUCUUACAAAACCGUACUAAAACAAAUAUGAAAUGUUUAAACAAAGUAGCAAGUCUUAAAAUCAAAUAACAUAUUGAAAACCAAAAAACUUAACACCACCUAAAUGACUAUUCAUGCACUUCUUCGAACUCACUUGCAAAGAAAAAAUAUAUGAAUUUUACAACAAAAACUUAGAGAGAGAAUCUCUAGAAUCCCUUAAAUCAACCACCAACAAUCAUCACACAACAUAGCAAAAGGUCUGGCUAGAACAUCCAACAAAACAAGAUAAAUCAAUAAGAAAUGAUGAUAAACCUCGACGGUUACACAUGAGACAACACCACCUCAUGUGGUCCCCACACCCCUCAUGUUGUUGCAUGAGAGCUCACCACCACAAUCAGUUCCUGUGAGUUCAAGGCAUUCAUGCUAUCCAUGCCACCACAUUCUCAACUCCACCCACAUGCACACGACAUGUCUGCUCCGACGAUAAAACAUUCCACCUUACAUGGUCCACCCAUGUCUUCUCCGACGAUAAACCUCAGUAAUACUGCUUUCCGUUAUGUUUCACCGGCAGCCACAUAGGCCUUAAUCCCUUCUUUAACUCAUAUACACCAUCCACACAUUGUCAUAUUCACAGACAAUGCAAUAAUCACAUAUGGUACUCAAACGUUAUUCAACCAUUUUUGUUUUAACAACCUAACAUUAUAUAUAACAUAUAUCUAUAUUAUAUCAAUCUAAAUAUAAUAUUUUUAAGUAUAUGUACAUCUAGGCAAAACAACUACAUGUAUGCUUAUUGUUAUAUGUAUGUAUUAAUGAUUCACCUAGACACUUUUACCAUGACAAGAGAAUGAGAAAAGGAGAUAGAGAUCGCUAUUAGCUCUCACCUGAGCAUAGAUCUGCGAGAUGCGAGAAGAUGUAGAAAAUGUGUUUAACAGCUCCACACAAACCAGAUCUACAAGAACAAAUGUUGGUUUCCAUCCAAACUUGAGAUAAGAGAUUUAGAAGAAUAAAUAGGGAAAUAAGAACAAAAAAAGAGUGUUUAAGAUUUUCUUACCCUCAUCACGUGGACGGAUCGAGAGAAAAAAAGCAAGAAUAGAGAAAAUGACGAAAAAGGAUCGAAACACCACAAGACCUCCUCAGUUGCGACACAGCGUGGUGGUCAGAAGAACUCAUGUGGCCAACGGUUGGUCCUCCUCAGUCAACGACUGCUCACUUUUCAAUUGGAUAGUAUUUGGUAGGUUUUCUU
rnacentral:lncRNA from 1 species